rnacentral:lncRNA from 1 species
GUUUUAUGAGUGUAUCACAUCAAUACGUUUUGGCUGAGACUACAAUGUUUUGGUGAUGCAAACAUUGAAAGAUUCUCAACCAGAAGAUAGUUCCUAGUUAUAUAAGUCUUUAUCUAGUUCAAUGAACAGUACAUCGGUUCUAUUUUUCCAUUGGUUUAAUAUUUGUCCCUUUUUACAGAAGACUUCAAAUGAUUACAAUUU